GACGAACGCUGGCGGCGUGCUUAACACAUGCAAGUCGAACGAAGUGGCGAACGGGUGAGUAAUACGUGGGUAACCUGCCCUCCUUUUUGGGAUAAGCCUUGGAAACGGGGUCUAAUACCCAAUAAAGGGGGUUGGGCUCGCGGCCUAUCAGGUUGUUGGUGGGGUGAUGGCCUACCAAGGCGGUGCCGGGUGGCCUGCCGUAGAGGGUGACCGGCCACAUUGGGACUGUGAUAAGGCCCAGAGGCCUACGGGGGGCAGCAGUGGGUGGUAUUGCGGAAUGGGCGAAGGCGUGAUGCAGCGAGGCAGCGUGGGGCAUGAAGGGUUUCGGGUUGUAAACCUCUUUCGGUAUCGAACGGGUACGGGGAGAAGAAGCGCCGGCUAACUACGUGCCAGCAGCCGCGGUAAUAC
rnacentral:rRNA from 1 species